CCGAUGAGGUGGAAACGGACAGAGCUGGCGUAUCUGGCCUGUAUUCAGCCGUCGGCUGUCAGCCCGGCGUUUGCUGCGGUUCCAGACUGGGCCCAGUGGGCGUUGGUGCGGGCGGCUGGCGGUGCAUUUGCAGGUGGAGUGCGCCGAGGCGCUCGGCUCAGCGGCAUGAGCUCGGCCUUGAGGCCAACCCAGCAAUGGGCGUGGUACCCGGGUCGGGGGAGUGCUGUUUGGGCUGAGUGUUCGCUGUGUGGCAAUGGUUUCGGGCCCGUGUGGGUGCCGAGCUGGCAGUCGGUGGCGGUCGCGUGCGACACGUGCCAGCAAUCAGUUCGGUCCCGCUCGAGCUCCCAUCUGCCCGGCCUCGGUGUAAAAGCCGGUCAUCUGUCCGACCCGUCUUGAAACACGGACCAAGGAGUUUAGCGUGUGCGCGAGUCAUUGGGCGUUGAAAACCCAAAGGCGAAAUGAAAGUGAAGGUCUGCCUUGUGCAGCUGAUGUGUGAUCCCGGGCGCCGCGGUGCCAGGGCGCAACAUAAUCCCGUCCCGACUGCUUGCAGUGGGGCGGAGACAGAGCGUACGCGCUGAG
rnacentral:rRNA from 1 species